rnacentral:lncRNA from 1 species
UCGGACUCCUCGGCGCUCUUGGCGCCCCCGCUCUCCACCCGCCGCAGAUGAAGGCCCCCGCCGCGGCCGCCGCGCUGAGAAGGCAGCGAGCCACUCCCGCCGCCUCCGGCGCUCCCGCUGCAGCUGCCGCCGCCCCUCGCCGGGAGCCGCUGUUGGAAGCCGAAGCCCCGGAUUCUUCGUCCUCCGUGUCCUGGGAAGCGCGCUGCCGCCGCCGGUCCGCCAUCUUACGGAGAACGGCCGCCGCUGGUCAGCUCCUGACGCACCACGCCCGUCGCGGAGGCUGCCGGGAAGCUCGAGACUCCGGAGUCCCGGCAUGCCUCAUGCCCAGGGAGGGCCGCCCUUCUCUCCGCGGGGCGGGGCCUGCGCCCUGCGGCACGUUUUCUGGAGAGCGAGGUGACGUCUGUCGGUGAUGGUGGUUUCCCUGCAACAGUUGAUGGCCAAGGGUAUCAAACCUUAAACUCAGAACAUGGCAGUUUCAUAGCCCUGGAGCAGCCUGUGCCUUUCCUUCUCAUUAUCCCUCUUCACCAGCUGCAUCCGCCUUUCCAUACGUUCAAUCCGAGCAAGGAGCUAGAAGGAGGUGACAAGAUACAGACUUAUACACCAAAGUUAAACACCUGUACUUAACCCCAUUUAAGAAUCAGCGAUCUUCUGUAUGUCCUUCUGUAUGUCACUAUGGUCCCUACCAAUUCAACUUUUACUCUGAAUUGGCAGGCAGGAAUCUGAAUAGCUUCCCUUAAACCCAAUAAAGGCAAAAGACAAUUAACUGUAGGAGUUAGUCUGGAUGGCAAGAGGCUGGGGCAAUCUAAAGUUCUUUCUUCUGAAGGAAGACCCUCCCCACUGGGCGGGGUCAGGUACCUUUUAAUGGCAAGGCCUCUGCCACUUGGCUCCAAGUCUUUUAGGACCCCCUCAAUUUACCCUUGUUUCUGUUGUCCUUGUUGUGUGUGGUGCUAGGGAUGGAAUCAGGGCCUCCUGACUGUGCUUGGCAAACACUCUAAGCACCAGCACCACUGAGCUACAUUCUCAGCCCUGUGUUCUUUUAAGGUGUCCUACGGUUGUCCAAAUUCUAUCUGCUCUAUGUUCACUCCUAAACGCUAGACACAGUGGAAUGUUUAAACAGCACAAUGAAGAAGAAUCAAGAGCUCACAGAGUGUCCCUAGGGACAGCAGUAUCACAUUAAAAUGUUAUGUGUGCGUAUUUGAAGGAGUACUUCCAAAACAUACUACACUGGAAAGAAUUAUAAUCGACGCCAGUAAUAUAAUCCCAAUACACAUGACAUAUAUAUUCUGCUUUGCGUUGGAGAUAACAGGAAAAUUUUAUCUAAAUAUUUAUCAAAAUUACAUUCUAAUUAAAGAGAACC